UACGUAGGUGGCAAGCGUUGUCCGGAAUCACUGGGCGUAAAGCGCGCGCAGGCGGCGAUCUACGUCUGGGGUGAAAGCCCGGAGCUCAACUCCGGGACUGCCUUGGAUACGGGAUCGCUUGAGGAUUGGAGAGGCAAGGGGAAUUCCACGUGUAGCGGUGAACUGCGUAGAGAUGUGGAGGAACACCUGUGGCGAAGGCGCCUUGCUGGCCAAUUUCUGACGCUGAGGCGCGAAAGCGUGGGGAGCAAACAGG
rnacentral:rRNA from 1 species